UUGCACAUAACUGUAUUUUUCCUUAUUUCUGUCUUUUUAUUCCCAUUUUCCUCCUACUUUCUUCAAUGUUGCCAGCAGGUCAAAAUCCUUUCCCGCUACUAAGCUGUGGUGAGACCACACAUGUACUGCUGAGCCUAGUUCUGGGGUUCUCAGAUCAAGAGAGAUAUGGAUAUACCAAAGAGAGCCCAACAAAGGACCGCAAAAAUGAUCCAGGCACGAGAGAAUCCCUCAGAGUUAUCCUUUCCUGGUGGACAAGAAAUUGAUGUUUAUCAUAGGAAAUAGCUCUGGAAGCAAGUAACCAUUUUUCAAGGAAGAAAUUACUUACCUCAACAAGGAUUAUAAUAAAGCUUUUUUUCUUGUUUGGAGGAUGAG